AUGAACUUCCAGAUGUUCAAGCUGGUUUUCAAAAAAGGCAGAGGAACCAGAGAUCAAAUUGCCAACACCCGCUGGAUCAUGGAAAAAGCAAGAGUGUACCAGAAAAACAUCUAUUUCUGCUUUAUUGACUAUGCCAAAGCCUCUGACUGUGUGGAUCACGAUAAAUUGUGGAAAAUUCUGAAAGAGAUGGGAAUACCAGACCACCUGACCUGCCUCUUGAGAAACCUGUAUGCAAGUCAAGAAGCAACAGUUAGAACUGGACAUGGAACAACAGACUGGUUCCAAAUAGGAAAAGGAGUAUGUCAAGGCUGUAUAUUGUCACCCUGCUUAUUUAACUUAUAUGCAGAGUAUAACUUGAGAAACACUAGGCUGGAAGAAGCACAAGCUGGAAUCAAGAUUGCCAGGAGAAAUAUCAAUAACUUCAGAUACACAGAUGAUACCACCUUUAUGGCAGAAAGUGAAGAGGAACUAAAAAGCCUCUUGAUGGAAGUGAAAGUGGAGAGUGAAAAGGUUGGCUUAAAGCUCAACACUCAGAAAACGAAGAUCAUGGCAUCUGGUCCCAUCAGUUCAUGGCAUAUAGAUGGAGAAACAUUGAAAACAGUGUCAGACUUUAUUUUUGGGGGCUCCAAAAUCACUAUAGAUGGUGAUUGCAGCAAUGAAAUUAAAGGAUGCUUACUCCUUGGAAGGAAAGUUAUGACCAACCUAGAUAGCAUAUUGAAAAGCAGAGACAUUACUUUGCCGACUAAGGUCUGUCUAGUCAAGGCUAUGGCUUUUCCUGUGGUCAUGUAUGGAUGUGAGAGUUGGACUGUGAAGAAGGCUGAGUGCCGAAGAAUUGAUGCUUUUGCACUGUGGUGUUGGAGAAGACUCUUGAGAGUCCCUUGGACUGCAAGGAGAUCUAAUCAGUCCAUUCUAAAGGAGAUUAGUCUUGGGUGUUCUUUGGAAGGACUGAUGCUAAAGCUGAAACUCCAGUACUUUGGCCACCUCAUGCAAAGAGAUGACGUAUUAGAAAAGACUCUGAUGCUGGGAGGGAUUGGGGGCAGGAGGAGAAGGGGACGGCAGAAGAUGAGAUGGCUGGAUGGCAUCACCGACUCAAUGGACGUGAAUUUGAGUAGACUCUGGGAGUUGGUGAUGGACAGGGAGGCCUAG
rnacentral:lncRNA from 1 species